GUCGUUUUCUCGAYGCUUUCACAUGCAGUCGAGCGGAAACGAGUUAUCUGAACCUUCGGGGAACGAUAACGGCGUCGAGGGCGGACGGGUGAGUAAUGCCUAGGAAAUUGCCCUGAUGUGGGGGAUAACCAUUGGAAACGAUGGCUAAUACCGCAUGAUGCCUACGGGYCAAAGAGGGGGACCUUCGGGCCUCUCGCGUCAGGAUAUGCCUAGGUGGGAUUAGCUAGUUGGUGAGGUAAGGGCUCACCAAGGCGACGAUCCCUAGCUGGUCUGAGAGGAUGAUCAGCCACACUGGAACUGAGACACGGUCCAGACUCCUACGGGAGGCAGCAGUGGGGAAUAUUGCACAAUGGGCGCAAGYYURAKGMRGCCAUGCCGGGGUGUGURAGGAGGGCUUUCGGKUUGUAAAGCAUUUUCGGYC
rnacentral:rRNA from 1 species